ensembl:lncRNA
GGCAGGGACGAGGCGGUGAAGGAGCAGCUCUCCUCCUGAGCCUCCAUCCCAGAGAAGACAGAGCGGCAGCAGAGUCCCUCCUCGGCUCAACGCUUCAUCCCCCUGCAGCUUCUGAAGUUCACACCGAGACGCCCGUCGUGAGGUCAAAAGAACACGAUGUACUGAGAGUGUGAGCUGUGACUGAACCUGCCAAGACUGACUGUCCUGAACACACAGGAUCCUUUAGGAGUCGAUGCAGAGUCCAGCGACAACAGGAGCCUCAACGCUCACCUGGUGUUUCACAAAACACAAGAGUGCAGAUAACAGAUACGAAUCCCACACACACUAACACACAAACCCUAACAAAUCAUAUUUCUUUCUAUUAAUUCAACUAAUGAACAUAUUUUCUAGCAUGGAGUUGGAGUCAUUUUGGUGGACAAACUGUAUCCUAAAAUAAUUCCUGUAUUUCCCCAAGCGUCUUGUUCUGACCGAAAGGA